rnacentral:rRNA from 1 species
GACAGAGGUGCCAAGCGUUAGGCGGAAUCACUGGGCUUAAAGCGUGUGUAGGCGGCCGUUAAGUACCUUGUGAAAUCCCACGGCUCAACCGUGGAACUGCUGGUAUACUGGCGGGCUGGGCCACUCAGGGGCGACGGAACAGGCGGUGGAGCGGUGAAAUGCGUAGAUAUCGCCGGAACGCCGAGGUGAAAACAGUCUGCUGGGGGUGUGCCGACGGCUGAAGACACAA